rnacentral:rRNA from 1 species
GAUGAGCGCUGGCGGCGUGCCUAAUACAUGCAAGUCGAGCGAACGGACGAGAAGCUUGCUUCUCUGAUGUUAGCGGCGGACGGGUGAGUAACACGUGGAUAACCUACCUAUAAGACUGGGGUAACUUCGGGAAACCGGAGCUAAUACCGGAUAAUAUUUUGAACCGCAUGGUUCAAAAGUGAAAGACGGUCUUGCUGUCACUUAUAGAUGGAUCCGCGCUGCAUUAGCUAGUUGGUAAGGUAACGGCUUACCAAGGCAACGAUGCAUAGCCGACCUGAGAGGGUGAUCGGCCACACUGGAACUGAGACACGGUCCAGACUCCUACGGGAGGCAGCAGUAGGGAAUCUUCCGCAAUGGGCGAAAGCCUGACGGAGCAACGCCGCGUGAGUGAUGAAGGUCUUCGGAUCGUAAAACUCUGUUAUUAGGGAAGAACAUAUGUGUAAGUAACUGUGCACAUCUUGACGGUACCUAAUCAGAAAGCCACGGCUAACUACGUG